GUCGGUAAAACUCGUGCCAGCCACCGCGGUUAUACGAGAGGUCCAAGCUGACAGCCAUCGGCGUAAAGAGUGGUUAAGUUAACCCCAAUAUAACUAAAGUCGAACGCCCCCAAGACCGUUAUACGUACUCGGCGGUAUGAAGCCCAACUACGAAAGUGGCUUUAAAAUACCUGACCCCACGAAAGCUGUGAAACAAACUGGGAUUAGAUACCCCACUAUG
rnacentral:rRNA from 1 species